GAAAUACCUACUUGUGCUUUUGCAUGGCUGAUGGACAGUUCUGAAGUUAAAUAUAGUUGCGUUUUUCUCCUUUAUACUUCUUUGAUACAAAAAGAAAAAAAGGACAGCGUGGUCUGUUAUGAAAUGACUGCUGCAGGAGUGUUGGGACAGAAAUACACAAGAAAAGCUAGAGUUACUUUUGUUCAGGAUCUAAGCAAGGGCUUGGAGUCCAAAAGAUGUUCCAGAGCAGUCUCAGCUGCACUAACACUCUGCCACAGUAGCACUUCAACAUCCACUGUGCCCUACUCGUGAUCACGACUGGAUUUUGCAAUAUAUCUGGCACUGCAUCUGAAAUUUUUAGGCUAGGUAUAAUUUUCAGGUGAAACUCUGGGACAAAAUCUGAGACCUUCAGCAUGCAGGGCUCUCCUUGUAGGAGCUCUCCCUCUCCCACCCCUGGUUACAUAGAACAAGGAUCAUCAGCUGGAGCUGAUGGUUCAAGACACUGCUCUGCAGCAAGAAGGGCAAAGCCUCGGAGCACUUUUGUAACAGCAAACUGCAGCUCAUCCUUGCCUACUGGGCAAAGUAAGAAGUAAACACCCUCCUGUAUUUUUUGAAAGGAUUUCUCAUUGGACUUCAGUCUCUAUUUAGACAGAUUUUUAGGUAUAUCAAGUGAUUAGUUGUAUCUGAUGUUAGGACCCUUGCAGAAACUGACACCUGACCACUUCAUUAAUGUCAUAGAAUCAAAUUGCAAUAUGCUACAGUCCAAAUGUAGAUAGCAGAUAUGUAAGAAAUGUUUGGAGUUUUCAUCAGUGAAGUCUGAACUAGGAGAGAGAAUAAUGAAAAUCUGUCAUCUGAAGGCAGCUUCUAACAAUAUUUUUAAUGAGAAAUUUUGUACUGUGUGCUGUACCAUGUAAGGUCCUGGAGACUGAAAUUCUGUUUAUUCAUAGAAAAAAUGCAGCAUAAAAAUACAGCUCCAAGUUUCCCUCCUCUGAUCUCCCCCAAGUCAACUGUAGCAAGGACAAUUCUGUAUCUGGAUGAGGAUCAAAUUCUGCUUCAUAUUCAAGAAUUUUCUCUGGGUCUUGUCUGCAUGAUUAGAACUUUCUAUUAACUUAUUAUUUAAAUAAGAGUUGUCAUGUGCACAAAACAGUUCUCUCUGUUUUAGCUUAGUUUUACUAAGAAUUAGCCUAAUUUUAUAGGAUGCAGUCGAAUGGAAAGCAAAAGGAAAGUUGGUAGUUGAAAUAAUGAUUGUUCUGGCAAGGAAUAAGCUGAUCAUCUCUAUUAGACCAGAAUCAAGACAGUGAGAGUGGACAUCCAUGCUGAAGAUGGCUGGCUAUUAGUCAAAAAUAAUUAAACAUCUACUCAUACAGGUUAGGGGGACUGAAAUUUUGAUUAUUUUUUUUAAAGAGUGACUUUUGCAUGAACAACAAGAAUUGAAGUGUAGGAUCUUUUGCCAAAUUAAAAUUGUUUCUCUGACUGGGUAAUUACAACAUAAACUCAAAACCUCGCAGCUAGGCAGAUAUGUUCUGGACAUAUAAGAGCACUGAGGGCAACCACUUUUAGCCUAAUAUAUGGACAAAAUCUGGGAUAUGCACACUGGGAUCAGUGUAGACACGCAACCCUGCACUCCAGGGGCUCACCUGAAGCAUCCAAGUCCCUGUGUUUUCCCACAGGGACUGUUUUAUUGAAGGAAGUGUCACCUGCCUCCAGUGAGGAGACAGGGAGAGAAAAGAGGAGGAAGCUCCAUGGGACCCUGGAAACUGGGCAGGGGGAGCAGAAAAGGAGCCCCAGUGCAGCUGGGGAGUGGGUGUGGGUGUUGGAAAACCCCCCAUAAUAGCGAGGUUGGCUUUGGGGACAGCUGUGUGCACAGCAGGGGCAGGACAGGGCGUGCUGGGGGGAGCAGUGCUGCAGCAGCUGUGUGCUGCAGCGCCCGUGUCGGUGCAGCAGCUCUGAAACUCUGCAAGGUGAGAGGGGAGGAGAUGUCCCCAGAGCUC